GGGCAACUUUUCCUCUGGACAGGUUUUGAUAAAUCUCCCCCAAUGUGUCUAUGAACAUGUAAGGUUUUGAAGACCACAAAAGAAGCAUUUCACCUUACCCUCCAUUGUUUCAUCACACCUAUCAUGAAGAAAAUUCAUUAAAGACAAAAGGCAAAAAAAGACAAGACAAGAUGACAGACAGGACAGGGUGUGAUGGUGAUGUCACACACAAAGGCACAAUGACAUUGUAAUUUCCACCUGAGCCUCGAUAAGUCUCCUCUUCAUAUCGAUUGGUUCUUGUGUGUGAUCCUUCCUGAUCUCCUCCUCCACCAGCAUCAACCUGUAGGGGCGAAACAAAAAAUGGCCGCUGAAAGCACCAAAUCCACAUGGACAAGAUACUUGGAACCUUCCCGAUAGUUUAAGCCUAGAUAAAGCUCAAGAUGGGAUCAGGUGUUGAUAGAAGGACAGAUGGCAGAAUCCUUUAUCCGAUACCGUGAGAGCCUAGGAACAGAGCUAACCGAGACACAAGAGACAUCAAGUCGGAGACAACCCAGUUAACUCCAAAAUGUAUCCAGGAGGGACAAGUGAGCAGAUCCCAAGAGAUUCGUCAGCCGCAUCCGAAGUGCAUCACAACCAGGAGGUUCAACAACAUGACAAGUAUCGAGAUCGCAGACAUGAUGCCAAAGUACUGCACUGCAAAUCCGAGUCACCAAAUGCCGGACAAGCAAGGAAGCCAUUACUAAGAGGACCAAAGAAACAAUUAAACCAGAGACACCUUUCCAUAAAGUCUAAAACUGAAACAAUUUCUCUCUACAGUGAUCAUCCAAAUAGUUUUUUUAAAUUAACACACGCUAUAUGAAUACCUUAUCAAUGACCAUACUCAAAGUCAAGUUCAUCUAUCCAUCAAGUUUGUGCGUUAGGUAAGUGUCGUAAAAGUACAGUGACCCCCGACCUACGAUGGCCCCGACAUACGAUCAUUUCAACAUGCGAUCACUCUGAGUC